AGUGGAGGUGACAGUUUAACUGGCAUACAAGGCAGUUUCACAGGAGCGCCAGGAUCUAAAAGAAAGAAAGAGAGCACUGGUGUUAAUGUUCAUGUCAGUAAGAAGGAGAUGAGAGUAUCUGCCUGGGUGAGCAGGGCUAGCACAGAGCCAAGGCGUUUUCUGCCUUUUGAACUGCAACACAGUGAAGGAAAACUGGGAUGCAUGGGAAGCCAGGACAGGUCCUAAGUGAGCAAAGGAAUAUUCCAGACCAUAUGGCAUCAUGCUCGGCAUGUAAAGCAAAGGUUUGCUACUAAAUGGUUCUUCUGAAGUGUUAAUGGUACACUGGAGCUGUGCACCACGUACACCAAGUCUGAUGCUUCUUAGUCACAGAACAUGGCUGGAGAACUGGUCAGCACACAUUAAAGAUACAACUGCUGCAGAUUAAGUGCUAGGAACUUCUGGAUGUAUGGCAGCAAAGGUUGCUGCAGCAGGGGUUGUAGAAAGGCUUAUUAAAAUCUUCAAAUUCUGCCCCAGCUCAACUACUGCAUGGAGAAAGAGGACAUGCCGGGGGAUCCUGGGCUUGUGGCAGAGCUGGCUGUGUUUGCUAUACUGCCAGUGGCAGAAAUGCUCUUUCUGGACUCCUUGCCAAAUGUAAGACAGAACUGUACCCUGACAGCAAGAAAGGACAGCAAACUUCUGGGUGGUACAAGAAGAAACACAGCCAGGAGAUUCUGCUACUGAUGGAAGGAUUCCCUUCUAUUCACCAGUCCUUAGACUGUAUCUAAACUACUGUGCAAGCUUAGUAGCCACCAGGAAAGGUAUCAAAAAAUCAGAAUGAGUUGAGUACAGGGUCACUGCAGUGGCUGAGGGCUACAGCACCUGAGGUACUGAGGUGUGUUCAGCUUGGAGAAAAGACAGCUUGUGGGGGGAACACUAAAGAGCAGCCUCCCAGUACCUACAAGUUAUCAACAACUCUUCAGUGCUGUCUGGUGGGAGGAGGAAAGACAGUGGAAAAAAGUGAAACAAAAGACGUUCAAGACUCUUUUGAGGCAAGUGUCUUCCCUGCCAUGAGAAGAGGCAGUUAGUGGAGCAGGUUUAUCCAGAUAGGUUGUACAGCUGGCAUCCUCUGAAGUUUUCAAGACCCAGCUGGUCAAAGGCCUGAGCAACCUGGUCUGAUCCCAUACUUGGCUCUGUUUUGAGCAGGAGGUUGGAUUAAAGGUCUGCUCAGGUUUUUCCUCACUUGAAUGACCUUAUACUGUGACCUUUGCUGUACUAUAUAAAACUACAAGUAAUACAGCUUGUCAUAAAGUUAAUGAGAUACUCUUUAAAUCCUUCCAAGUAAUUAAUUAUAUAAAAAAUGUGCAAAAAACUCUCCCAAACCAACAAACAGUGCAAAAACCAGUGUGGCCUGUUGAGGGAGCUCCAUGGGGCGAUGUGCCUGAUAUUUACUGGCACCAUUUGGACAAGUAGCUUUUGCUUUUUCAGGUCUUCUCUCCUAUAAUCACUUGUGCCUAAAUGGUGAGAGUCUCUUUUCUUGUUUCAAUGAGUUUUUGAACAAGUCAAAAACUGUUGUCAAAGGUUUGCCAUGCAUCUAGGGCUGACCAUGGCAAGAUCUGCAGUCAUGUCUUCCGGGGAAAAUUUGAGACAGAAAUUCUUUGCUGUUCUUCUGUACCACAUAUGCCUUCAAGAUUCAGACUGAGUUUGAAGAACAAAAGCAAGGCAUGAUUAGCCCUAAAGGUUGAAAAGUAUAGCUCUGCAUGAAUUCCUGUGUGGGGCCUUGAAAAGGGUUUCAAAGAUGAGAAGAUUUCCUGAUGUCUGUAUGUGAUAGGUAUCCCUCUCCAGGAAGAAGCACAGAGAGGAAUUGUAGAGGGAGAAACUGCACCAGGGCCCAGUUUCCAUGAGAACCCAUUGAAGGAGAACUGCUUUUGCUCUGCUGCUUCUCCCUUGACACACAGUGAGAGAACUGUCCAUUGUCUCCACGUGAAUGUAACCUCUCUUCCUGAAUGGAGCCUGCCAGAGCUGGCAGCUGGAGGUAACAUCACCGUGGAGGAAGCUUCUGGAUUAUGUCUUGGGCUCAUCUACAGAGGAGUCUUCUGAUACAUAUGUGACUAUUGCAUUAUAAAAUACUCCAGAGUAUUUACUGAACAAAUUGUAGUCACAAAAACUUUUACAAAGUUGUCACUAAAAACCAGCUGUGUUGUGGCAAGGCACCAGGACCCCAGGCAUUCACGUUCUCAAAUCUCAUUCUGGUCUUGUCUGCAUUGUCAGAAGCAACUUUUGAGGACUUUAAAUAUUUCGUACCUAUUAAAUGUUUGCCUCUAAUUAUAAAUUAGUUCUGACACUACACAGACAUAACUAGAAAGCACAAUAUCAGAACUAAAAAUGUGCUAUGUGUCUCUUCAAAAUCUUGAAUGAAAAAAGCAAAAGAAUGCAAAAAGCUUAAAUGGAAUAGAUAAGUGGCCAGAUAUAACCAAAGCUUCAUACUAUUCUAAUAUUAGGCUGAAUUUUGACUCAAGCAGACUCAGGUGCUCCUGAGAACCCAUCUUAUUUUGUUCUUUGGUGUUUUAGGAACUUUAUGGGUUACUGGUGCUUCAGUUGAAAAAUAUCUAAUUAAUUUCAGAAAGCAUUAUCUGCACUGGUGAAAAUUAACAGCUUAAUGAAUCAAGAUCAAAGGGAAUUUUCCAACACUGGGGUCUAUCAAAUCAGACAUGCCUAGUCUUCCUCUCACUUGACCAUUAAAGAUUUUAUGUUAAGCUAGGAACUUGAACACCAGAACCCCAAUUAAAUUUGGUCCCAGGUGAUUAUUUCAACUCUUCCUAAAUUUUCAGUGAAGGAAGUAGAAGUGUCCUAAAUGCCUGGGUUCUGCACGUGAAUAUCAGAGAAAUAAAACAAUGAAAGAAAUUCUAUCUUGUGAACAUUGUCCAGUACUAAUCAGUCUAAUGCAAAUCAUGUUUGAAAACCAGUAGAAGGCUCACCAGGAGGUGACUGAACAACAGGACAUGCAGAGCAGUGAAACAGCAGUAACAAAACAGAUAAGGCUUGUGUUUUUCUCUUGGAAUUGCCUGUCUUCUAAGGCUAUGCGUGCACUUCCACACCCAGUGCUGUGACAGGGAUGUUCCCUAUGGAGGCAGCACCAUCAAGACCACAGGACACGGUGUGAGGAAAAGCAUGGAGCAUCUUCUGCAGCAGUGUUGGUACCACUCACAGUGAUUGCCCUGCAGUCUGCUCUUGGCUCCAGCCCUGUUUCUACACUGUCCCAUCCCUACAGAGCCGCAGCCUUGAGAAGAAGCAUGCCAAGGCUGUGUGAUUUAUAUUUGCUGAAAGCAAUUCUCUCUUCCUUUCACCUUUAAAAUGGAAUUUUUUUGUUUCAUUCUCCACAAAAUUAACUGUGCUCUUAUGUGUUUAUUUAGGUCCACUCUUUUAUGUGCAUUUCUUAUCAAUUGAAAGGCCAAUCUUUGUCUUGGCACAGGUGGAUAGAUAUUUGAGAUGGCUCAAAAUGCUUUCAGAGGAAAGGAAUGUUUCUUUUCCAUUUCUGAAACCUGUAAUAAGCUCUUUGUCAAGCCUUGAAAGUCAGUCUGCAUAACUUUUUGAAGAACUUUGGAAUAUUUUCACAGCAAGAGGUGGUCUGACUUUUUUCCCUCAAGGUUUGUAUUUAAAAUAUUUUUCCUUUUUUUUUUUGCCUCUGACCAUGUUUGUAGUGAUUUUUUAAUACAUGUUUGUACA